CCGCCAUGCUAGGCCCUGCACCUAUCUCUCUUGUAGUCGCCAGCCUGACCUGCCGCCUCUCCCACACCAUCUGUGCCUAGCCGUCUCACUAGACGAAGAUGCAUACGAAGUCGAGACGCGUCCGGCUAAGGACCAUAUGCAGGUCAUUGUGCGGUACAGAAAUUGUACUCUGAAUUUGUCACUACAGGUUGCAUGCAAUUUCUCACUGUUAGUUUCAGAUUUUUCCUAUUUUCUAUGUGUAUAUAGUAGAUGCUUCUAUUAAUCUGUGGCAUCUUCGUUCAUCUUAUCUAAUUCAGUUAAAGUUUACAUUGAAAAUUUCCCAGAUCUCUUUUUAAUGUUGUACUUACCCAGAGCCUUUCUCUCCUGCUAGGCUAGUUUACAGAGUUUUACUGACCCGCAGUCGCUGUAUGUCUUUUCUUCGUUCAUUUGGCCAACUGAAUUUGUCAUCCACAGUGUAAUUGCCUUUUGGGCUCCCCUUUGCACCAUCAGUUCUAACAAAAGAUUUAUUCAAUAGUUGUUUGCGGACAAGACUUUGAAGAUCAGUGAUGAAGUACACUUUCCCCAACAUGCCACUUUGGAGAAUAUAUGUCAACUUCUCUGAAUCUCGAAAUGCACGUGGGCGUUGCAUUUAUUUAUUUAGUUCCAUGUAGAGAUUCAAUCAUCUCAAUGGAGCCUUACAUGAUUUGCUCUUUUACUGAUGGACUGAGGAGGUCCGAGUUGUUUUCUGGUCUACCAUGUGGCAACCUCUCUCACCAUGUCUGCACAUAGUGUUCAGUUCCAUUAGCUCUGGAGUUGACUGGAUGGGGCCGACAUAUUUUGUUGGUGCAGGUUGGAGGUGCACAUGAACUCUGGCAAUACAAAAUACUUCCUCCGUCCCAAAAUUCUUGUCUUAGAUUUGCCUAGAUACGGAUGUAUCACUUGAUACAUCCGUAUCUAGGCAAAUCUAAGACAAGAAUUUUGGGACGGAGGGAGUAGCAGAUAUAAAAUUCCCAUAAAAUAACUGCAGCUCAGCCCAUUUAUUUCUACAACAACCAAGGAACAAGUCUAUUUUCUAAUGCGACCCUGGCCAAGCAAUUUCCAAGCAAUUUAUGCUUAUAAGGGUGCUCUCUAUUUUUCAGAGGUGCGAGAGCGCCCAUAAUUCGGGGCAAAAAAGCUAGAUAAAGUGGCAAACUUUGUAAGAGUGGUAUUUGAAGCUAGUGAUAGCAUGUUGAAGGAUGUUGAUUGUGGCUAUCCAACUUCAACAACGUGUUUAGGGCUGCAAAUUAAUUAGCGCUUAACAACUCUUCUCCGCACACCACGCCGUCCUCAACCCCUCCCCAAGAAAAGGGUUCACCAC